ACCUUAACGGCGACGUUGCAAGCACCAAAGGUGGCGUUGAUUUCGUCAUUUUAGCGCGCUUAAUUAAUAACUUUUUAACUAUGACGUUUAGCGUCAUGGUGUCUUCGAGAAAGUUUUUCGCUAUAAUAAGGAGCUUCUUUUGAGCUAUUGUAAAAAAUGAUCAAUCCCCCUAAAAGUGAGAUAGAAAAUUUAUUUUUUUGCAUUUUUCAAGAUACAAGGUUGGUGUCUUCACAAAAGUUGUAGAUAAUGUUAUUUGGAGCAACUUUGUCAAAGGCGCCAAGUUUGUAACUCAGUUACUUUUCAAGAUACGUUACGUUUUUAUCAUCAGACCCUUGAAAAGGGUUUUUGUGCAAUAACUUUCGAAGGAUUGAUUCUACAUUUUUCUGAUGUUCUACAAAGUUAUAGAUAAUGGUAAAAAACAUAACUUCGCCGAACACGACAUUCUUCUAAUUUCUAAAAUAAAAUAGUUAUAACGGUUUUUAUAGUUUUUUGGGCCAUAUUUCAAGCAUAUAUAACCUUGCUAUAGGCAGUUAUAUGCAAAUUUCCUUUUAAGCAUGUGAAUAUACAAGUAAUUGCCUCUCUUAGAAAGCCAAAACCAUCAAACUGUAAGAAACUGUAAGAUGGUUUUUGUACAGAAACUUUCAACCAUCUAUGUUACUUUUAUAUGGGAUUUAUUCAUAUUUUCUCCAUAUUUUUUGAGAGUUCAUUACAGCUUGCAUUUUUAUUGUUAUUGUAAGUGUGUGAAUAUAUAUAGAAAGGAUUGUGGUGCAUUCUGCAACAUUCAUGAAGUACGUUACAUGAAAACUUACCAUCUACUUCUAUUUUCUGACUAACUGACAGUGCUGCACGUAGUCCACGAAAAGAACGCAUAAAGUGUUACUUUUUUGUCAGAUCACGAUUAAACAGCACCUUACUGUAAAGUACAAUAAGAUUUAUAAUUAGCUUUAACUGUUGUAUACAUGGACUAGAGGGAGCGUUCACAAAAUAUGUCACGCGCAAGUUUAGAAUUUGAGAAAAAAUAGCACUUCGUUCGCUCUUUUCGUGGACUACAUGCAGCACUGUGAGUUAGUAAGAAAAUAUAAAUCGAUGGUAAGUUUUUGUGUAACGUACUUCAUGAAUGCUCCAGAAUGCACCACAAUCCAUUCUAUAUAUUCACACACACGUACAAUAACAAUAAAUAUGCAAGCUGCCAUGAACUGUCAAAUAAAUAUGUUGAAGAUAUGAAUAAAUCCCAUAUAAAAGUAACAUAGAUGGUUGAAAGUUUCUGUACAAAAACCAUCUUACAGUUUCUUACAGUUUGAUAGUUUUUUGCUUUCUAAGAGAGGCAAUUACUUGUAUAUUCACAUGCUUAAAAGGAAAUUUGCAUAUAAUUGCCUAUAGCUAGGUUAUAUAUGCUUGAAAUAUGGCCCAAAAAACUAUAAAAACCGUUAUAACUAUUUUAUUUUAGAAAUUAGAAGAAUGUCGUGUUAGGCGAAGUUAUGUGUUUUACCAUUAUCUAUAACUUUGUAGAACAUCAGAAAAAUGUAGAAUCAAUCCUUCGAAAGUUAUUGCACAAAAACCCUUUUCAAGGGUCUGAUGAUAAAAAACGUAACGUAUCUUGAAAAGUAACGUAGUUACAAACUUAUCGUCUUUGACAAAGUUGCUCCAAAUAACAUUAUCUACAACUUUUGUGAAGACACCAACCCUGUAUCUUGAAAAAUGCAAAAAAUAAAUUUUCCAUCUCACUUUUAGGGGGAUUGAUCAUUUUUUACAAUAGCUCAAAAGAAGCUCCUUAUUAUAGCGAAAAACUUUCUCGAAGACACCAUGACGCUAAACGUCAUAGUUAAAAAGUUAUUAAUUAAGCGCGCUAAAAUGACGAAAUCAGCCACUGUGCACUGGUGGCGUGGUAACAGAUCUAAGAGUAUAUGCACAGGACGAAAGACUUGCGGCCCCUGACAUCCAAGAUAUUAAGGAGAAGAUUGGCCGGUUGAAAAAUAACAAAGCCACUAGUGCAGAUCGAUUACCAAGCGAGUUUCCAAAAUACGGUGGAAAAGCUUUAGCAGAAAAAAGUUUUACCGAAGUAGUGGAUGGAAGAGCGACAAGUUGGGUUGCGGAAACUACCGCGCGAUCACAAUGUCCGCCGAAUGUCAUUGAUUGCUGAAAAGCUCGUGGAGCAAUAUCAGGUUGGAUUCAUGGGUGAACGCGUAACAGCGAUCCAGAUGAAUGAUCCGGAAUGACGCAAAUACAACGUUCCCACACAUUACCCAAGUAACCACGGUGCUGAAGCCUUAUUGCAUGCAGAUAUACGGUGUAUUUAGUGCAAUCAUUACUUUACAUGCAAACUUAAGGUUGAUUUAAAGUGGAAGUGGGCAAUUAUAGAGUCAAAUUAAGAUUAUACUGGUAUAAUCUUGGAGCAGUCGCAUAAUUGCCCAUUUCCACUUUAAAUCAACUUUAAGUUUGCAUGUAAAGUAAUGAUUGCCCUAAGUACACCGUAUAUCUGCAUGCAAUAAGGGUUCAGCAUCGUGGUUACUUGGGUACAGCACGUAUGCCACAAUCGAUCGCUGUGGCAGAUUAUGCAUGAAUACGGAUUCCCGGAUAAUCUGAUACGAUUGAUCAAGGCGACGAUGAUCGAGUGAUGUGCGUAGUUCGAGUAUCAGGGAUACUUUCGAGUCCCUUCGAAUCUCGCAGAGGGUUACGGCAAGGUGAUGGUCUUUCGUGCUUGCUGUUUAACAUUUGGACCAACACUGGGCACACACUGCCGACAACGACACAAGAACAGAAAUUCAGAGACGCAUUAUGGCAGGAAAUCGAGCUUACUGUGGACGCCACAGAACUCUACGAUUGAACAAAGUUCACCGUUACAUGAAGUCAACCAUUUACAAAACGCUGAUUGAACCGGUAGUCCUCUGUGGACACGAAACCUUGGCUAUACUUGCAGAGGACCAACGCGCCCUUGAAGUUUUCGAAUGGAAGGUGUAGUGGACCAUCUAAAGCUAUGUUCACUUAGAAUCAGGAAUCAUGUCACAUUUUCUAGUGGCGCUCUUAAUGAACAUAAUCAUCAUUCUUUUGCGGCACUCUGAUCAUACACUAAUCCUCUUUAAAUGGUGAAAACUUCAUCGAUUUUCUUGCAACGAGUGAAAAGUUAUUUCAGAUUGAAGACAAGAGGAGGAAAAAAAUCUUGCACAAACACGUUGAAAAUUUAGCGUGAUCAGGUACGACAGUCGCGAAAAAUGUUAAUAUCGUCAAAACCAUUAUGUGUUAUGUGCACAGAUGUUGUUAACCAUGGAAUAAGGAAGUGUCCUCGGAAGAAAAAAGCUUGGGUUCAUUGAUAAAUCUGCUUUGAAUUUGAAGAUUUGGCAAGAAGUUCGAACUCUGGGCAUGGUUUUUUCGCAACAAGAUGAUGAGAACCAAUUCAUACAAGGAUGACAGCCUCAAGAAUCGCGUGCUGCCAGUGUUUGGACGAAAAAGUGAUCAGUGAACCACUCGGCAGUUUUUCUUCCCUUCUGUUGGUUCUGUUUCAAUUACCAAGCGGUGUAUGUUCUCUCGUCGAGUCGCAUGGUUCACGAAGGAACACAAAGAGGAUACUCCGAUAUAAACAAGCUGCGGCGAUGAGCGGGCAUCGCUAAGUGUAACACUUACCGAUGAUCGCUCAUCGUUGGCUUGGGGCAACUGUGAAUAAUCGUUAUUUUCAUCAGUAUUUAAUGCGUUUUCGCUUUAAAAACGUGAAAUACUAUUUAAUUUAACUGUAUUCAUGACGUUGCAGGUUGUGUAGUCACAAUAAAAAAAGAAUUAUGGCAAUAAAAUAUUCUUACCGAAUGCAUCGCUUUCAUUAGAGUCAUCGAGCAUCUUCUCUCUUGAUUGCGCUCUCGUAUCGAACCGGGCAAGAGAAUGAACAGCAUUUCGGGGAGCGUUCCCGAUCAUGUUGGUUCAUGAAAUGUUACAUUCGCGAAUGUAUCACUUGCUGAGCAUGGACCAUUCAGUGGUUCGCGAUAAAUAUCCACACACUGCGUGCUGCUUUUCAAAAACGCACACAAGGGAUAUGUAGAGGUUUUACCUAUUUUGAUGAGCUGCCAUGACAGCCGGAGACGUUCAGUGGUAGCGUCACAGAUGGGUACUGUUUAUCAACGAAAAAAACACUCAAAUUUCGCGUUUUCUCAAUUCACUGAAUUGCCCCUCAUUUCGCAGUAAAAAAAAAAAAAUGUUUGGCAAUUUUUCUUCGGAAUCCUAGUCAGACUAGUCAAGGCACUCGGGACACUGCAUAGAUGACCUGAUUGUUGAACAAACGUGCGGAAGGGGUUGUUCCUAAAAUUUACCACCGUUGUGCAGAUUUUUAGAGAGGUCAACACUGAAAAAGUGAGAAAAUGUGUGAAAAAUAAAAAUAAAUAAUUUCAAUGAUAUUUUUUCAUGAAAGUACAAUAAAUAACCUUUGUUUUGAGGGCUUCACCUUUUAUGUUUGUUAUUCCAUCCCUAAGAUAUACGUGAUUUUGUCAUUCCGGAUUCUAAAUGAACAUAGCUUUAGGGCAGAAUGCAGAUGGAAAACGGGUCCUGGAGGAGGCGAAUGAACCACGAACUGCAUCAGUUGCUCAUUCACACCGAGAAAAUCGGGAGCCUACAGAGGGUGGGUCACGUCAUCAGGAUGUUGGAUAGCAACCCGAUUGAAAUGGUUCUCGAGAGCAACCCGACCGGUCCAAAAAGACGUGGUGCGUAGCGAGCUUGGUGGCUCGAUCAAGUGGAUCAGCCGCGAUGGGGCGAGCGAAAACACGAGGAGCCAAAACCGUAGCCUUUCAGCGAUAUUCGGCUCUCGAGAAGGAAGUGAAACGCUCAUGUAGACGGGAUAAAAGAGCCAGGGCGGACUCCAUAGCCGACGAAAGCGAGAAAACCGCAAACACCGGCGACAAUAGUCUCCUCUACGAUGUUUCACGUCGCCUUAGUGGAAGUAAUACUAAGAUGCCCGUGAAUGACACGUCUAGACAGUUAUUGACCGACCCAGCUGACCAGUUGAAACGCUAAUUGGAGCACUUUGGACACCAAUACCCGUGUCAACACCGAAGCUCCAUCAUAGUAGAAGAUAAAAACAGCCGUCCAUAGCGUAAAAUCGAACAGGGCCCCAAGGAUCGAUCAUAUAUCAGUUGAGUUGCUCAAAGAUGACCCUGUAGUAUCUACACAACUGGAGCUCGAUUUGAAAAUGUCGUAUGUACAUUUGUCGAUAUAAAAUUCGAUCAGUUUAUUUUAGUUAUUGUAGCAAUAGGGAAGAUAUUUUGGAGGCUUUUAAUUAUGGAACGGAAAGCCUGUUUUGUGAUGAUUCUUCUGUAUGUACCAACUUUGUCCAAUUUCAACGGUUUUUGCUAUAAUAAGCGAAUCCAACUGAUCGAAUUUUUAAUCGAAAAAAGCACAUACGACCUUUUCAAAUCGAGCUCCAGAAUUAUCCUACAACGUAUGGGAAACCGUGACAAUUCCGACCGACUGGAUGCAAGUCGUCUUAGUAGAAAUGCACAAAAAAGGGUGGCCUGACUGUAUGCGAUAGUGUGGCCAUAUUGUUACGCUCCGUACCAUCUUGGGGCAAAUCAAUGAAUUUUAAGAUUCUCUCUACCUGGUGUUCAUUGAUUACGAAAAACUUUCUAUCUCUGAGAAAAUCAUCGGCCUCGUUGAAGCACAGUACAGGGCAUUUUCGUGCAGAGUACUGCACAACGGUGUCUUGUCUGAUCACAUCCGGGUCGUUGCUGGAGUGAGGCAAGGAUGUUUACAAUAUAUCACCGCUACUGUUCCUCAUCGUAAUCGACGAGAUCCUGGUAAGUGUGAUUGAUCGUGAAAUAAAUCGUGGGUUGCUGUGGCAGCCCAUUACCAUGGAGCACCUAAAUGACUUCGUAUUGGCUGAUUACGUUGCUCUCCUAGAUCGUCGGCGCUCUGAUAGGCAGAGCAAGCUCUAUGAUCUCGCCAAUCGCUGCUCAGCGGCAGGUCUUACCAUCAACGUCAACAAGACCAAAUCGUUGGAUGUAAACACGGUCAACCCUUCCAGCUUUACGGUAGCUGGGCAAUCAGUGAAGAAUGUUGAAAGCUUCCAAAAUCUUGGUAGUCAAAUGGCGGCCGAUGGUGGCACCAAGAUCGACAUAGGUGCACGGAUCAAGAAGGCGAGGGCUGCUUUUGCGAGUAUGGAAACACAACCAGAUUAUUGGACGCACUCAAAUCUGAAUUUUCAAGUCGUACGUGAAACCUGUGCUAUUGUACGCCAGUGAAACUUGGCGUGUAUCAGCGGAGAAAACUCAACGGCUGCAGGUCUUCAUCAAUUGAUGUCUACGGUUUAUAAUUCGUGCAUGGUGCAUCGAUCGUAGGGCAGUACAGGAAGCUGAUGCUCCUCUGAAGAGAGAGACAGCGAGGAUAGGCUUGACGAUUAACUCUACCAAGACGAAGUACAUAAUAGCGGGUAGAGACAGAAGCAGGUCUAGUGGUGUUAGUGCUGAGGUAGUGAUCAAUGGGGAUGUGUUUGAUGUUGUUGAAGAAUUAGUUUAUCUUGGAACACUUGUGACAUGUGACAAUGACGUUUCCCGUGAAGUGAAAAGGCGUAUUGCAGUUGCGAAUAGGGUUUUUUACGAAUUGCGUAGCCAGCAUAGGUCCCGUAUGUAAACGCAAACAAAAUUCGCUCUAUAUAAGACGCUGAUUCUGCAACCUCUACGGUCACGAAGCGUGGACGUUAAAGGAGGUAGACCGAAAAGUUUUUGGACUUUUUGAGCGCAAAGUGCUGCGGACAAUUCUCGGUGGGAAACAAGAAAAUGAAGUGUGGCGCAGACGCAUGAAUCACGAGUUGUACCAAGCAAGGAUGGAAAUCUAGUGAUCAUGAUCAGAUUUCGAAUGUGUCGCGGUCGAACGGCAUCGCGCGAUCAUAGCAACAACGAUAACAUUGUGUCGUCAAGCAUCAUAAGAAAACUUCGGUCCGAGAAGAAUGAUUCGCUCGGCAUGUGCGGGCGCGAUGCGAUCGUUAUCAUGAAGUCGAAAUGAUAAAUUAGUGAUUUCAUUCACUUUUUGAGCAUUCUUGGUGAUUUAACUUCCAGAUAUGCUUAUGAACGUAUCAUUUCGAAUCAUGAAUGCGGCCUAGGGGUGCAUAAGUGGCAAACAAUGUGAUGAAUACAAUUUAUCAUGACUUGUAACAUGAUCCGAUAACGGGUCAUCACGCGAUAAAGCGUGCAUCAGAUGCUUUAAUUGUUCUGUGAUACGAGCACGGUGUGAGGCGUCGGCAUCAUGCUACCGCAAGAACAAGGCUAUCUUGGAUUAUUCGUAUCCUGUAUCAUUUAUCGCUUGAAGUGAUUUUCUGCCAUCCUUGGUACCAAGGGUACGAAGAUGCGAAUAUUGUGAAACGUAUAAAAUACGGCAGACUUCAGUGGGCUGGACACGUAGAGCGAAUGCCGGAAGAAAGAAUAGCGAAAACAAUAUUCAGCAGAGAACCCGGUAGAGGUAGGUGACUUUGUGGGCGGCCGCGAACUCGCUGGCUGCACGCGGUUGAAGAGGAUCUACGAUCCCUACACGUUCGGGGAAACUGGAGGAACAUCGCCCAAGACCGACGAAGAUGGUGCUCUACUAUACGCUCGGCAUUGGAGUAAAGUUACUUUGUUGCCAACAAGGUAUUAAGGUAGGUAAUCACUUACUGACACAACAUGAAAAAUUCUUAAACUACUGAAGGGGUUUUAAGUGAUAUUUCAGAAGGAAUUCUUUAGUAAACUUUGGAUGGAAUCCAUGGAGGAAUUUCUAAAAGAAUUCUCUGAGGAUUUUUUUAAAUAAAUUGUUUAUUUAAUUUCUGAAGACUAUGUGAAAGAAUCCCAAGGAAUUUUCUGAAAUAAUUCUGGAAAGAGUUGCUAAAGGAAUGUCUGAAAACUCUCCCUCAUAAACCCUUGGUGGAAUUCCUACAGGGAUUCAGAAAAUUUCUAAAAGUUACCAAAAAUCAUGAAGGAUGUUCGGAAAGAAUUCCCGGAAGAAUUCAUGGACAUAUUUUUCAAGAAAUCCCUGAAAGAAUGUCUGGAAAAAAACAUAAACUUCUGUAAAAGUUCCUAUAAAUAUGUGUAAAACUUUCAAUUAAUUGUUACUAUAGAUAUUUCUAAAUUUCUUAAAAAACCCGAAGAAAAAUUCCUAAUGGUAUCCUUGGAAGAAUGUCAGGAGGAAUCUCUGGAGAAAUACAUGGAGGAAUACCCGGAGGAACUCAUGAACUAUGGGAGCAUUCAUCUAGUACGUCACGCUAAAAUUGAGAAAUUAUAGACUGUUUCUAAUUUCUAACGAUUAACUGCCAUUUUAAUUUGAGCACAAUAUCCAAAAAAAGUUUCUUCUAGCUCUUAUAGUAAACAUGCUAACGAAGCAAAUAAAACCAAUUUUGUUGAUGUUUCUGGUAAAAGUUAAAAAAUAGGGCUCUGUAAACUAGAUUAUUAAAUUUUGAAGAUGCACAAAGUGGUCAAAAAAUGUAGCAUAGUAGAAAAGAAAAAAAUCUCACAGAUAAAAAAAUAUAAUUUCCAAACACAAUAAAAAUUGCUGUAUCGAUGAUAAAAGAUAUAUCUCGAUUGGUAAUAGUAAUUUUUACUGGAAUAUUUGUUCAAGAACCACCAUUACGGGCCUUCUCAAUACAUUUUUUUUUUGUUUCAAAUUUCACAACAACACCAGUAGGAACAAACGUUAAGGAAACGAAUGUCUUAAUUACUGCUUACUGCAUUCGUUUUUAUGGUAUGACAAGCUUUGCCAUCUGAAGGAUCGAAUGAGCUGAAAACAUAAGUUUGUUUAAAUUAAGUGCGUUCAGGAAAGCUAAGAAACUGUGUGGUAGUUCUUAUGGUCCGUAGAAAACCUUAAAAAAUAAAAAACUUGAUCUCCAAAAAAAUGUUGUGGAAAUGCCCUUAUCGAUUUUUCCCAAAUCUUGGUCAAGGCAUUCUUUAGACAACUUGUUGAGAAAGCGAAUGUGAUAGAAAUUUAGAUAAUUUUUGGUAUUUAGUGAUAAAUAAUGUUGAAAUCAUUAAAAAACACCUUUGUGCAAAUGCAAAUUUGAAAAAAUAAGUUAUUUGUUAGAGAACUCGACUGUUCUUUAAAAUAUUAAGACAAUUGAAAGGAAAUAUAAAAAUAUGGAGUACAAUAUGCUAUACUCUGAAAGAAGUUGGUAAAAAUCAUUAGAACAGUUCAUUUAAUUUAAUAAACAAAGUGUAUUUAUAAUUUCUGAAACAGUCUAUAUAACCCCCUUCGUACGGGUUUUUCCUAUAUCUACGGUAUGCGGCAGGAAAAAAAGCGAAAGUAUUGUUCAACUUCAAACUUCUUUUUCGUCCACUUGACGUUAACCAAUCUAUGUUUCAACGUUCCAUGAUCUCUAACAGGCUAGUUUUCUGAAAAGUGAAUUAAAUUUUUUCCCAUUUAGGUCACCAACCUUUACAGGACGGCGCCUGAAGCUGAAAACAAUCAGAAUUUUCAAACCACAGAAAAUUACACAGGUUGCUAAAUUUCACAUCUGAUAAAACAUUUUUUUUAUUUACUCUAAAAAAUCAUAUACACCGUGUACAAUAAGUUCUCAUACAAAAUACAAAUUUAGAAAAUAUAAUUUUAUUUCACAUAUGUGAUUUUUAUUUUCAAAAUAAAUGCAUAUAUUGAAGGGCCACAUAAUACUGAAUAAAUAAAUCAUACGGUUUAGAAUAACCUUAUUUUCUAUUUGUUUUUAGAAGCCUAGCAAUACACUUCCGUUUUCUGAAAUCCGUUUGCUCCGGCACGCAAGGAAAAUGUUAGACAAGUUUUUACGGUAGCUAAAUAAAGUCCAUAUGGUUAAAUUUUGAGUUUUUAUUCCAAGUAUUUUACCAAGUGGAUAUACUAAGGCUAAAACAAUACAAUUUUAGUGAUGAUGUGGUUAGAAAUUUGUAAGUAAGCUCAACUUGGGCAAAUUUCUUUGAAAAUGAUCGUUAUAUUUAAAUAUAAACAUCAUAGAACGUAAUUUCUGUCCAAAAUUUACCACAGUAGGAAUAUAGCAUGUCUUAGAAGUGAGAAUAGUAUGAAUCAACAAGAUAAGCUGCAGCCAGCCUUCUUUAACACAACAAAACUCAUUGAAACAGGUAAAUUGACAUUUUUGUUUAAUUUCCGUUUUAUUUUGCUCAAAAUAAAACGGCUUCGUACUUCACCGUAACAGAACCUUAUAUUUUUUCUCUUCUGCUCAUAGCUGCUACUAGCAAUGUUGAUGACAGGAACAGUCCUGUUAUUGGUCGUGACCAUCCCAUGACGAUGAACAAGUAGGCCUUUUCAUCGUCACAAAAUGAAAUGAGCGCUCGCGCCCUUCGUCAUGUCAUUUCGCAAUAAUCAAUCGUCAUGACGAAAACUUCCAUAUUGUUUUGAAAAUAAAAUUUUCACAUGGUCCAAGCAAAUUUGGGCUAGUCGUUGUAUUUAAUAGAUAGAGAGGACAUAAAUUCAUGAUUUAAAAGAUUCAAACAAUAACAAAGUUCAUCGAUGUGCUAGUAGUUGCCUUGUUUACAACCAUGUCACGCUCCGUCAUGACCGAAAAAUGAGCGAAUAUUGUUAGACUCUCUUGGUCAUCGUCUCCCGAUUCGAUGACAUUGAGAGAGGCACUUCUGUAAAAAUCGCGCGACGACUCGUGUUGACGCUGACGCUUUCCAAGC